rnacentral:rRNA from 1 species
GCAACGCAUUCGGCUGGACGCAGCUCCGGCGAACAAACACAUCAACGCUUGACCUCAAAUCAGGUAGGAGUACCCGCUGAACUUAAGCAUAUCAAUAAGCGGAGGAAAAGAAACCAACCGGGAUUGCCUCAGUAACGGCGAGUGAAGCGGCAAAAGCUCAAAUUUGAAAUCUGGCGCCUUCGGUGCCCGAGUUGUAAUUUGUAGAAGGCGACUUUUGGGGCCGGUUCUUGUCUAUGUUCCUUGGAACAGGACGUCAUGGAGGGUGAGAAUCCCGUAUGGCGAGGACUUGAGCUCCUUGUAAAGCGCUUUCGAAGAGUCGAGUUGUUUGGGAAUGCAGCUCUAAGUGGGUGGUAAAUUCCAUCUAAAGCUAAAUACAGGCGAGAGACCGAUAGCGAACAAGUACAGUGAUGGAAAGAUGAAAAGAACUUUGAAAAGAGAGUGAAAAAGUACGUGAAAUUGUUGAAAGGGAAGGGCAUUUGAUCAGACAUGGCGUUUUGCGCCCUUUGCUCCUUGUGGGCGGAGGAAUCUCGCAGCUCGCUGGGCCAGCAUCGGUUUUUGCGGCAGCAGAAAACCUAGGGAACGUAGCUUGUGUCUUUGACUCAAGAACUUAUAGCCCUGGGGAAUACUGCCAGCGGGGACCGAGGACUGCGGUGCUUGUCACCAAGGAUGCUGGCAUAAUGGUUAUAUGCCGCCCGUCUUGAAACACGGACCAAGGAGUCUAACGUCUAUGCGAGUGUUUG